rnacentral:lncRNA from 1 species
AAGAAGCAACAGAAGAAACUGAGAAUUGCACAACUAAUGGAACCCACAUUAGAAAAUCAAGUGUAAUCCAAUCAGGAGGUGAAGAGAGGCUUACGAAAGCAAUGUAUUAGAGAGGAAAGACCAGAGCAAGAUUUUGAAGAGAUAGCUUCUCUGGGACAUGAAGCCUGGAUGAAGAAGCACUGUGCAUAGACUCCAGGGGAAAAUGAAGGAAGUGACAAAGGGAGCAUUCACUCUUCUGCAUUGGAGAUUGGAUUUCCCGACAUGAAAUUAUAAACUAAGUAAGAAUGCUGAGUACAGAAGGAUCCAAAGUCGUGGAAGACAUCGCCAUGUGAGGAAACUGGGUGAAGAGUUCAAGGGAAUCUACGUAUGACUUUUGCCACUUCUUGUGAUUCUAGUAAUUUUAAAAUAAAAAGGUAAAAAAAUAGAUGCCUUCU